GUGAACCAGCGGAGGGAUCAUUACCGAGUACUAUAACUCAUAACCCUUUGUGAACCUUCAUACCUGUUGCUUCGGCGGCGCGCCUCUCGGGGCGUGCCCGCCGGCAUUAUCAGAAUCUCUGUUCGAACCCGACGAUACUUCUGAGUGUUCUAAGCGAACUGUUAAAACUUUCAACAACGGAUCUCUUGGCUCCAGCAUCGAUGAAGAACGCACCGAAACGCGAUAUGUAAUGUGAAUUGCAGAAUCAGUGAAUCAUCGAAUCUUUGAACGCACAUGGCGCCUUCCACUAUCCUGGGAGGCAUGCCUGCCCGAGCGUCGCUCCAACCCUCGAGUCCCCGUGGCCCGGCAUCGUUUAUCUGCCCCAGCUCCACUACCACUCUCCAUGCUCUACUCCUUCGGUCCCCCCCCUACUGCUCCUCACCCCCGUCCCUACCCCUCUUAGCCCACGAUGCCUCUCAUCACCCAUAACCCCGACCAGCACUACACUUUCGGCUGUUCUCACAUCUCGUACCAUACCCCCUCUCUCCACGCACACUCCCCCUCU
rnacentral:rRNA from 1 species